CUCUUAUGAAGUUAGCGGCGGACGGGUGAGUAACACGUGGGUAACCUGCCCAUAAGACUGGGAUAACUCCGGGAAACCGGGGCUAAUACCGGAUAACAUUUUGAACCGCAUGGUUCGAAAUUGAAAGGCGGCUUCGGCUGUCACUUAUGGAUGGACCCGCGUCGCAUUAGCUAGUUGGUGAGGUAACGGCUCACCAAGGCAACGAUGCGUAGCCGACCUGAGAGGGUGAUCGGCCACACUGGGACUGACACACGGCCCAGACUCCUACGGGAGGCAGCAGUAGGGAAUCUUCCGCAAUGGACGAAAGUCUGACGGAGCAACGCCGCGUGAGUGAUGAAGGCUUUCGGGUCGUAAAACUCUGUUGUUAGGGAAGAACACCUGCUACUUGAAUAAACUGGCACCCUGACGGUAACUACCCAUAAAGCCACUGCUAACUAAAUGCCAACACCCGCGGUAAUACUUACGUGGCUACCGUUAUUCGGAAUUAUUGGCCCUAAUUCGGCGGCACGCGGUUUCUUUAUUCUUAUGUUAAAGCCCUGCGGUCCACCCCCGAAGGUCAUUGUGAAAACGGGAGAAACUUGAGUGACAAAGAGAGGAGGGUGCCCUUCCAGUGUGUAGCCUUCAUUUGUACAGAGGAGGUGCUACAAGAG
rnacentral:rRNA from 1 species